AUACGUAGGAUCCGAGCGUUGUCCGGAUUUACUGGGCGUAAAGGGUGUGUAGGCGGCUCGGCAAGUCUCAUGUGAAAUCUUCCGGCUCAACUGGAAGGGGUCGUGGGAAACUGCCAGGCUCGAGGGCAGCAGAGGAAAGUGGAAUUCCCGGAGUAGUGGUGAAAUGCGUAGAUACCGGGAGGAACACCAGUGGCGGAGGCGGCUUUCUGGGCUGUACCUGACGCUGAGGCGCGAAAGCAUGGGGAGCAAACCGGAUUAGAAACCCCUGUAGUCC
rnacentral:rRNA from 1 species